GCAUGUCUAAGUAUAAAUAACUACACAGUAAAACUGCGAAUGGCUCAUUAAAACAGUUAUAGUUUAUUUGAUACAUUAAAUGGAUAACUGUAGGAAACUAGAGCUAAUACAUGCCAAGGUCGUAAGACUGCAUUUAUUAGAUAUGCCAAGACGGUGAAUCAUGAUAACUUAGCAAAUCGAAACCACGUUUCGAUAAAUCAUUCAAGUUUCUGACCUAUCAUGCUCUCGAUGGUAGUGUAUUGGACUACCAUGGCAGUCACGGGUAACGGAGAAUUAGGGUUCGAUUCCGGAGAAGGAGCCUGAGAAACGGCUACUACAUCUACGGAAGGCAGCAGGCGCGUAAAUUACCCAAUCCUAAAUCGGGGAGGUAGUGACAAGAUAUAACAACGCGACCAAAAAUCGCGAUUGUAGUGAGGGUAUUCUAAACAUAGCUUCGAGUACGAUGGAGGGCAAGUCUGGUGCCAGCAGCCGCGGUAAUUCCAGCUCCAAUAGCGUAUAUUAAAGUUGUUGCAGUUAAAAAGCUCGUAGUUAGACUACAAGAAUCGCAUCUGGGCAACCAGCAUGCAUUCUACCAGCCCUAGGCUGUUACUGUGAGAAAAUUAGAGUGUUUCAAGCAGGCUAUUGCAGGAAUACAUUAGCAUGGAAUAACGAAUGUGUCUACAAUUUGGUUGAUUGUAGGUUACAAUUAAUAGGGACAGUUGGGGGCAUUAGUAUUUAAUAGUCAGAGGUGAAAUUCUUGGAUUUGUUAAAGACUAACGUAUGCGAAAGCAUUUGCCAAGGAUGUUUUCAUUAAUCAAGAACGAAAGAUAGGGGAUCAAAGACGAUCAGAUACCGUCGUAGUCCUAUCUAUAAACUAUGCCGACUAGGGAUUAGUGCGGUCAGUACCGCAUUAGUACCUUAUGAGAAAUCAAAGUCUUUGGGUUCUGGGGGGAGUAUGGUCGCAAGACUGAAACUUAAAGAAAUUGACGGAAGGGCACCACCAGGAGUGGAGCCUGCGGCUUAAUUUGACUCAACACGGGGAAACUUACCAGGUCCGGACGCAGUGAGGAUUGACAGAUUGAUAGCUCUUUCUUGAUUCUGUGGGUGGUGGUGCAUGGCCGUUCUUAGUUGGUGGAGUGAUUUGUCUGGUUAAUUCCGAUAACGAACGAGACCUUAACCUGCUAAAUAGUUACGCCAAUUUUAUUGGUGUCGACUUCUUAGAGGGACUAUGUC
rnacentral:rRNA from 1 species